rnacentral:rRNA from 1 species
UACGUAGGGUGCGAGCGUUAAUCGGAAUUACUGGGCGUAAAGCGUGCGCAGGCGGUUCGUUGUGUCGGCGGUGAAAGCCCCGGGCUCAACCUGGGAAUGGCCGUUGAAACUGGCGAACUGGAGUGUGGCAGAGGGGGGGUGGAAUUCCGCGUGUAGCAGUGAAAUGCGUAGAGAUGCGGAGGGACACCGAUGGCGAAGGCAGCCCCCCUGGGCUGACACUGACGCUCAGGCACGAAAGCGUGGGGAGCAAACAGG